ACUCCUAGGAAUUGGGAGUCUCCAGUAUCUCAGAAGCAGUGCUCUCAUGAGGUACCUCCCUUCAAUUUUUCAGUGGAAUUCACACUUCAGGAACUUGCCACAUCAGACUCAGAUUCCCCAACAGCAGACUACAGGUAAAUGGUAUCCCUGAAGAAAGGAAACUGACUGAAGCAAUGAAUUUGUAAUCAGCCAGCAAAGCAGUUAUAUCUCAUUUCUUCUCUUUUCCACUAAUGCAUGAGCUUUUCCGAAAUAUGGUGUGCAUGUCGACAGUAUUACGUCUGUAGCAAAUAAUACAAUAUAACUUUCAUUUUACUAAUGUAUUUUUUUGUACUUAAAGCAUUUUUGAGCAAUUUGUAAAACAUUGAUGACUUUAUAUUUGUUACAAAUAAAAAGGGACCUUUAAAAUAAAUAUUAUUAAUGAAGCUUAA